UCAACACUAAAGCUUGCUUAGGAUGCCAAGCACUUUAUUUGCACUUAAUCUCAUCUCCUUGUUUCUAUGCUUUUAUUGUUUAGAUGAGGUGAUGAAUUUCUGGAGGGAUUCCCUAACACCAUCCCAUCAUUGCCUCCCAUUUGGCCGAACUUUUACUCCUCCUAUGAUCAUUAUCUUCCUCCUUUCUUCCAUCUUCAUCCUUUCUCUCCAUUCUUCCACUCCACCUAGCUCUCCUUGGAAGGUUGAAGAAGAGUGUGUCCUUCGCCGGAGCUCGGGUUUCUACCGGAGUUCCUGUCAUCCGGAGGCGAGGUGAAGAGGAGCAACGAGUUGCCGGUGCUUCCACGAAGACUAGGACAUCCUUGAGCAAUAAUCUUGGAUUUCUAUUGAAUUUAGGAGAUCAUCAAGCAAAUCACGAGUGGUAGACCGGUGUCGAUCUUGAAAGAGUGUCUGUAGAUGUUGCUUGUCCUAUUCUAAAAUUUGAAUGCUUGUCAUUAUAUGUCCCUAUGUCCUUGUAUUUUGUAAUUUAGACUUUUUGCAAGCCCAUAUUAUGUAUUCUGUAGAGUCUGUAACCCAGUGACUCAGUUGGUUUAUUAUAAC